rnacentral:rRNA from 1 species
GAUGAACGCUGGCGGCGUGCCUAAUACAUGCCAGUCGAGCGAACGGACGAGAAGCUUGCUUCUCUGAUGUUAGCGGCGGACGGGUGAGUAACACGUGGAUAACCUACCUAUAAGACUGGGAUAACUUCGGGAAACCGGAGCUAAUACCGGAUGAUAUUUUGAACAGCAUGGUUCAAGAGUGAAAGACGGUUUUGCUGUCACUUAUAGAUGGAUCCGCGCUGCAUUAGCUAGUUGGUAAGGUAACGGCUUACCAAGGCAACGAUGCAUAGCCGACCUGAGUGGGUGAUCGGCCACACUGGAACGGAGACACGGUCCAGACUCCUACGGGAGGCAGCAGUAGGGAAUCGUCCGCAAUGGGCGAAAGCCUGACGGAGCAACGCCGCGUGAGUGCUGAAGGUCUUCGGAUCGUAAAACUCUGUUAUUAGGGAAGAACAUAUGUGUAAGUAACUGUGCACAUCUUGACGGUACCUAAUCAGAAAGCCACGGCUAACUACGUG